AUUGAACGCUGGCGGCAUGCUUUACACGUGCAAGUCGAACGGCAGCGCGGGCUUCGGCCUGGCGGCGAGUGGCGAACGGGUGAGUAAUGCAUUGGAACGUGCCCAGUAGUGGGGGAUAGCCCGGCGAAAGCCGGAUUAAUACCGCAUACGACCUGAGGGUGAAAGCGGGGGACCGAAAGGCCUCGCGCUAUUGGAGCGGCCGAUGUCGGAUUAGCUAGUUGGUGGGGUAAAGGCUUACCAAGGCGACGAUCCGUAGCUGGUCUGAGAGGACGACCAGCCACACUGGGACUGAGACACGGCCCAGACUCCUACGGGAGGCAGCAGUGGGGAAUUUUGGACAAUGGGGGCAACCCUGAUCCAGCCAUGCCGCGUGCGGGAAGAAGGCCUUCGGGUUGUAAACCGCUUUUGUUCGGGAAGAAAUCCUCUGGGCUAAUACCCCGGGGGGAUGACGGUACCGGAAGAAUAAGCACCGGCUAACUACGUG
rnacentral:rRNA from 1 species